rnacentral:rRNA from 1 species
GUGGGGAAUCUUGCGCAAUGGGCGAAAGCCUGACGCAGCCAUGCCGCGUGAAUGAUGAAGGUCUGAGGAUUGUAAAAUUCUUUCACCGGGGACGAUAAUGACGGUACCCGGAGAAGAAGCUCCGGCUAACUUCGUGCCAGCAGCCGCGGUAAUACGAAGGGGGCUAGCGUUGCUCGGAAUUACUGGGCGUAAAGGGCGCGUAGGCGGACAGCUUAGUCAGAGGUGAAAGCCCAGGGCUCAACCUUGGAAUUGCCUUUGAUAGUGGCUGUCUGGAGUGUGGGAGAGGUGAGUGGAACGCCGAGUGUAGAGGUGAAAUUCGUAGAUAUUCGGAAGAACACCAGGGGCGAAGGCGACUCACUGGCCCAAUACUGACGCUGAGGCGCGAAAGCGUGGGGAGCAAACAGGAUUAGAAACCCUGGUAGUCC